rnacentral:rRNA from 1 species
AUUUUUAGAAGUAAAUAAACCGCUAGAACACUACAAGCUAUACCCUUCAAACUCAAAGAAUUUGGCGGUGAUUUAAGCCCCAUUAGAGGAACCUGUUCAAUAAACGAUACACCACGCAGCAUCUUACCUAUCUCUCAAAGUAUGUAUACCAUCAUUAUCAGAUGACUCCCAAAAGACUAGUCAUUUUCCGUAGAUAAUUUAUCUAAUAUAUUAGAUCAAGGUGCAGCCAAUAGAUAGGAUUUUAUGGGUUACAAUAAAUCUUAUUUAUACGAACUUUUAAGUGAAAUCUUUUAAUGAAGGAGGAUUUAAUAGUAAAAUUUCUUUAAUAAGAUAAUUUGAUAAAGGACCUAAAUCAAGUACAUAUCGCCCGUCGCUUUCACCCAAAUGAAAUAAGUCGUAACAUAG